GGUAAAUUGGCAGAGUGGUUAUCGCGCGUUCUUCGAAAGUUCGUGUCCUUGUGACGCAUAGGUUCGAAUCCUAUAUUUACCU
rnacentral:tRNA from 1 species